rnacentral:tRNA from 1 species
UCCCUGAUAGCUCAGGGUAAAGAAUCUGCCUGCAAUGCAGGAGACCCCGGUUCGAUUCCUGGGUCGGGAA